GCAAGUCGAACGGUAGAAAGGUGCUUGCACCUUUUGAGAGUGGCGAACGGGUGAGUAACACGUAAGUAAUCUGCCUGGAAAUUGGGGAUAGCCUGUGGAAACACAGGGUAAUACCGAAUACGCCUUAUAAUGGGGACAUUAUAAGGGAAAGGGGCUAAGGCCUCGUUUCCAGAUGAGCUUGCGGUUCAUUAGCUAGUUGGUGGGGUAAAGGCCUACCAAGGCGACGAUGAAUAGCCGGCCUGAGAGGGUGACC
rnacentral:rRNA from 1 species